UACGGAGGGAGCUAGCGUUGUUCGGAAUUACUGGGCGUAAAGCGCACGUAGGCGGCUUUGUAAGUUAGAGGUGAAAGCCCGGAGCUCAACUCCGGAAUUGCCUUUAAGACUGCAUCGCUUGAAUCCGGGAGAGGUGAGUGGAAUUCCGAGUGUAGAGGUGAAAAUUCGUAGAUAUUCGGAAGAACACCAGUGGCGAAGGCGGCUCACUGGACCGGUAUUGACGCUGAGGUGCGAAAAGCGUGGGGAGCAAACAGG
rnacentral:rRNA from 1 species